rnacentral:lncRNA from 1 species
CCUUCCCUUCCCUUCCCUUCCCUUCCCUUCCCUUCCCUUCCCUUCCCCUCCCCUAUUAGAUGUCCCCACCAUGUAAUUCCCAUUCCUCACUUUGCUCUCACACUCAGACCUUCUCCCCUCUUCUCUUCCAGCCACCGUGCAUCUCGUGCCCUGCCAGAUGGUCUCCAAGGAAGGUAACUCCUCUGGGGUCUCCUUAAACAGGGGCUGAGCUGCUGGGGGCACGGCUGGAUUUGGGGUCCCACAGGCGUGACUUUCUGGGGGACCCUCAGCCUCAUUCCCCCUCCCCAUAAGAGCCCAGUGGUGAAAUUGGGUGCUGGGGCUUUUUCUUUAUCUCACUUUGUUGAAGUCCUGCCUCGUGUCAGCACCCUGCUGAUGAGUGGAAACCCCUCGAGACCCAACCCCUUCCCGGCCCUCUCCUUCCCACACCUGCUCCUCCCAGUUUGGGUGUGGGACGAUGGUAUUUUGGUAGGGUUUGGUGGAGGCCAAACGUUUUUUUCCAAUGACUGCUGUGGAGGAGCAUCAGCGAUGGGUUUUACCCUUCUCCCUUAGCCUUUUCAACCCCCCUUCCCCAUUUCCUAUUUUCAUAAAUUACCAAGUUGCAGAAAAAAAAAAAUAAUAAUUUGCUUGAAAGGACAUGAAGGACAUUUUGGCUGGCAUGACAAAGCUGCCCAGGGUGUGGGAAGGGUUUUUGCAGUCUCCUUUCUUUCAUCACUUCCCUCAGCAGGAUGCAACCUUGUGCUGAAUCACAAGGAGAUAAAAUGAGUCAUAGCCCAGAGACAUUUCUGCUUUAUGAGGUCCCCUCUGUGCUUUAUUGUAUUCCUUGAAAUGCAAGCCAGUUUCUUUUAUUUGCGUGGAGUUAGUCCCUCCUGUCUCUGCUCCUCGCACCUCACCUCCGUCCCCCCUGCCUGUUUCCUUCUUUAUCCACCAGCCGCAGUCCCUGCCCCGACCCUCUGGGUGCUGCAGGGACAGAAGGAAUAUUUCUUCGGAGAUGUUGUCACGCUGGUGUGCACCACUCCCCGCAACAUCACUGGGAGGCUGAUGUACCAAAUUUUUGGCGACGGUGGCUGGGCAAAUUCAGGAUUUAGCUCGACGAAUAACUACACGUUUGAGUUCGUCCUCUCCCGAAUGCAAAACAGGGGGCCACAUCUCUGCAGAUAUUCCAUCGGGCAAGGUCCGAAGCAGCUCACAUCCCCAACCAGUGCAGAACUGGUGAUCAAGAUUGGAGGCAAGAGCUGCUUCUUUCUUCUGCGGCUCCUGGUUGUGGGUGGCUGCUUCCUCACCAUCAACAGCCUCAUCCUCCUCUUCUUCUGGGCCCGGGGGAGAAGCAAAGAUGCUUCGUUUCUGUGUGGAGCCAGCCCUGCUGGGAUCUCCCAGCUGGAUGCCAGAUCCCCAUACACCCUUCAGGAGGAUAAUAAGUACGAGGAACACUAAGGAGAGGAAGGUGCUGUGAGCGAUUCCACCCCCUAAAGACUGCUCCCUGCUGAAGACAUCCCAAAAGACUGGUGUGCAGCCAAACGAGUGCUCAGCUGUGGGAAAAGAAAGCAAGAAUCGGUUCCUGGGAGGACGAAAGAAGUAGAAAAGGGACAUUUCACUUGGUAAAGGGGAGGGAGGAGACACCGACGUUGUUGGGAAGGGUGAUUGUGAAAGAGAAAAUGAAGGAAGACCAGGAAUAAAAAUGGAAAUUGUGAGAAAAAAAAAAAAAAA